GACAGAGGGUGCAAACGUUGUUCGGAUUUACUGGGCGUAAAGCGUGUGUAGGCGGCUUCGCAAGUUGGAUGUGAAAUCCCACGGCUCAACCGUGGACGUGCAUCCAAAACUGCGUCGCUAGAGUCUCGGAGAGGAAGGUGGAAUGCUUGGUGUAGAGGUGAAAUUCGUAGAUAUCAAGCAGAACACCUGCGGCGAAGGCGGCCUUCUGGACGAUGACUGACGCUGAGACACGAAAGCGGGGGGAGCAAACAGG
rnacentral:rRNA from 1 species